UGGAGUGAUUUGUCUGGUUGAUUCCGAUAACGAACGAGACUCUGGCUUGCUAAAUAGUUCGCUCGUCGCCUCCGUGGUGGGCGAGCGUGGCAUACGGUUCGGCGGCCGUCCUCACGGGCACCGUCGGGCCUUGUCAAUGGAACUUCUUAGAGGGACAAAUGGCUUUGAGUCAUGCGAGAUUGAGCAAUAACAGGUCUGUGAUGCCCUUAGAUGUCCGGGGCCGCACGCGCGCUACACUGAAGGAAUCAACGAGUGUUUCUCUCCCGGUCCGGAAGGAUCGGGCAACCUCUUGAACCUCCUUCGUGAUUGGGACUGGGCUUUGCAAUUGUUGCCCACGAACGAGGAAUUCCUAGUAAGCGCGAGUCACGAACUCGCGUUGAUUACGUCCCUGCCCUUUGUACACACCGCCCGUCGCUACUACCGAUUGGACGUUCGAGUGAGGGCUUUGGAUCGGCCCCAACGCACACGGUGGGCAACUACCGUGGGCUCGGUGUUGCAGAAAAGAUGUUCAAACUCGAGCGUCUAGAGGAAGUAAAAGUCGUAACAAGGUUUCCCGUAGGUGAA
rnacentral:rRNA from 1 species